rnacentral:rRNA from 1 species
UACGAAGGGGGCUAGCGUUGUUCGGAAUCACUGGGCGUAAAGGGCGCGUAGGCGGCCGAUCAAGUCGGGGGUGAAAGCCUGUGGCUCAACCACAGAAUUGCCUUCGAUACUGUUUGGCUUGAGACCGGAAGAGGUAAGUGGAACUGCGAGUGUAGAGGUGAAAUUCGUAGAUAUUCGGAAGAACACCAGUGGCGAAGGCGGCUCACUGGACUGGUAUUGACGCUGAGGUGCGAAAGCGUGGGGAGCAAACAGG